rnacentral:rRNA from 1 species
UACGUAGGGUGCAAGCGUUAUCCGGAAUUAUUGGGCGUAAAGAGCUCGUAGGCGGUUUGUCACGUCUGCUGUGAAAUCCCGAGGCUCAACCUCGGGCCUGCAGUGGGUACGGGCAGACUAGAGUGCGGUAGGGGAGACUGGAAUUCCGUGGUGUAGACGGUGAAAUGCGCAGAAUAGUCAGGAGGGAACACCGGUGGGCCGAAGGCGGG